rnacentral:rRNA from 1 species
UAGGGAAUAUUGGGCAAUGGACGCAAGUCUGACCCAGCCAUGCCGCGUGCAGGAUGACGGCCCUAUGGGUUGUAAACUGCUUUUCUACGGGAAGAAACACUCCGACGUGUCGGAGCUUGACGGUACCGUAGGAAUAAGGAUCGGCUAACUCCGUGCCAGCAGCCGCGGUAAUACGGAGGAUCCAAGCGUUGUCCGGAUUCAUUGGGUUUAAAGGGUGCGUAGGCGGGCUAUUAAGUCAGAGGUGAAAUCUUGCGGCUCAACCGUAAAAUUGCCUUUGAAACUGGUAGCCUUGAAUUCGGUCGAGGUGGAUGGAAUGUGUCAUGUAGCGGUGAAAUGCUUAGAUAUGACCCAGAACACCAAUUGCGAAGGCAGUUCACUAGACCGACAUUGACGCUGAGGC